rnacentral:rRNA from 1 species
CUACGGGACGCUCCAGUGGGGAAUCUUGCGCAAUGGGCGAAAGCCUGACGCAGCAACGCCGCGUGCGGGAAGAAGGCUUUCGGGCUGUAAACCGCUUUCAGUAGGAACGAAACUGACGGUACCUACAGAAGAAGGAGCGGCCAACUAUGUGCCAGCAGCCGCGGUGACACAUAGGCUCCAAGCGUUGUCCGGAUUUAUUGGGCGUAAAGAGCUCGUAGGCGGUCGAGUAAGUCGGGUGUGAAAACUCUGGGCUUAACCCAGAGAUGCCACUCGAUACUGCUGUGACUUGAGUUCGGUAGGGGAGCGGGGAAUUCCUUGUGUAGCGGUGAAAUGCGCAGAUAUGAGGAGGAACACCGGUGGCGAAGGCGCCGCUCUGGGCCGUAACUGACGCUGAGGAGCGAAAGCGUGGUAGCAAACAGGAUUAGAUACCCCAGUAGUC